AGCGAUCCUCCAACCUCAGGCUUCCGAAUACAUAGGACUACAGGUAGGAAUUCAUUUGCCCUGCCUGCCAGCCCCCAUAGAGACAGAACCAUUACCUACUGAAAGAAGAUUUUAAUGACGUGAUGAAAAUAUUUUAGAAAGCACCUUGAAGAAUAGUAUCUUUAUGUAACCACUGUUGGAGAGAUGUCUUCAGGAGACUGAAGUAGAAGAGUUACUGUCAACAUGGAAAGAUGAUUCUAAACUUUGAAAACCACCCUAGCAGGGUAUGAUAAAUGGCAGAUUACAUAUGAUGACAAACUCUGAAGAAAUACAGGACAAAGAUAUAAUGACCAUGAAGAAUACUGGAAAUACAGUGCCAUAAGCCCAAAGGAAACUACAGAAGAGAUUUCCAAGAUUGUUUCUAAGCAACAAGGGCCCUGCCUCUCAAGGUGACUAUUUUGACAAGGAUUGGGGAAGGGAAGUAUGAUAACAUUUACAUAGCUUUUCUGAGAGGCACCUUAUCAUAGUGUUUGUGUGUAUGAGCCUGGGAGCCAGACUAGCUUGGAUGGAGUGGUGGAUCUCCAACUGAACAGGUAUGUGACCUUACAAUUGCUUAAUUUGGGAAUACUGGAGAAUUCCCAUCUAUAAAAUGAGGAUAAUAAUGGUAACUAACUGCUAGAGUUUUCGUGAAGGUUGUAUGUGUUGACUCAAGUUUAGCCUAAAGUUGCCUCCUUACAUAUUUUAAAUUUAGCCUAAAGGUUUCUCUAUGCAUAGUGAACUGUACCUUAAAUGGAGGAGUAAACAGACUGUAACCCACUCUGUGCCAACCACUGAGUUUUGGCCAAUCAAAGGGGGCCAACUGCUCCAAUGGUGUUCAAAUAAGGCAAACGCUGAGCUAUAAUCAUUACAACUGUUUCUGUACCUCACUUUUGUUUUCUGAUUGUCACUUUCCUUUUACUGCCUGUAAAUCUUUUUCUAUCAUGUGGCUGUGCUGGAAUUUCUGUGCUUACUCUGGCUUGAAAGGCUGCCCAAUUCAUGAAUUGUUCUUUGCUCAAUUAAAGUUUUCAAUUUAAUUUGGCUAAGGUUUGUCUUUUAACAUAUGAAUUCUUUUGUGAAAAACGUUAGGCUAAUGUCUGGCACAUAUAAACCACAAGUAAACAUUAAAUAUUUAUAAUAUGAUGUGGUUAUAUAAAUUUACAUAUACUUGUAUAUAAUCUUAAUCUUACUGUUUAUUAUUUUCUCCAUUUUAUAGUUGAGUGUACACUAUGCUUAUUCUUGAGGGAUUAAUUACCUGGCAUGAAGUUCAAACAAACGGUAAGCUGCUAGGACGAGAAUAAAACUCAGCUACAGAUGAUCAGAUUACUUCCUGUGUCAACUAUGUAAAAUAUCUGAGACACAUUUUGGUGACCUUUAAUAACCCUCAUCUACUAGAACCAGCUUGACCCUUAAUAGAUACAGACUCAGUGAAUCAGACCUAGAAAUCUGAUUUUAAUAAAAUUUGCCAAGAAUCUGUUUCUGAUUUUGCUACUGUCAUUAGUGCUGCUCAUCAAAUAUUUCUUAUUUUCUGCUUCUGGCCCCAUAGUAGAAUUGUAUUUUCCUGCCCACUUCGAAAUUAGACACUGCUGUGUGAUUUGCUUUAGUUAAUGCAAUAGACGAGAAAGUGACUCAAACCACUUCCAGGAGGGGCAUUAGGAAGCAGUGUGUGAUUCAUCGUGCCCUUUACUCCUCCUGGAGACUGCAGAAGCACACUGUCAAGAUGGACUCUCUAUUCUCUGGACAAGUAAUGGACUUGUAGCAUGAUUCAGAAAUAUUGCUUAUUGUUUUAAGCCCCUGAGAUGUUAGGCUUCUUUUUAGUGUAGAAUAACCUACUCGGUCCUGAUUGAUGCACAUACUGACCAAUCCAGAGCACUGAAUAACCGUUAAGAAAUACUAAAGCUCAUUAUAAAAAGUGGGAAGUGCUAAACUAUGGUUGCAUAGAGCUGAAUACGCACCUUCUGUGCCCUUCGUUUGUCUGCUCGUUGAUUCUGGUGGUAGAUACGACUGAAGUUCGAUACAAUCACCGGAACUGGUAGAGCAAUGACCAAGACCCCACUCAGCGAACAGAUAGAACCAAAAAUCUUCCCUGCUAUGGUUUUUGGCACCAUGUCACCAUACCUGAGUUAAUGAAAAAAAAAAUACAUAUAUUGUUUUAAGUCACAGAAAGACAUUUCUACCUGAAACUAAUAAUUUUUUGCUUUAAGUCAAAUGAUUUUUUAGACAUGUCUAUUUCUACUUUGUGACUACAAUAUA